rnacentral:rRNA from 1 species
UACGAAGGGUGCAAGCGUUACUCGGAAUUACUGGGCGUAAAGCGUGCGUAGGCGUUCGUUAAGUCUGUCGUGAAAGCCCUGGCUCAACCUGGGAAUUGCGAUGGAUACUGGCGAGCUAGAGUACGGUAGAGGAUGGUGGAAUUCCCGGUGUAGCGGUGAAAUGCGUAGAGAUCGGGAGGAACACCCGUGGCGAAGGCGGCCAUCUGGACCAGUACUGACGCUGAGGCGCGAAAGCCAGGGGAGGCAAACGGG